rnacentral:piRNA from 1 species
UAGUUCCCGGAAACAUUUGCCCAGAUC